AAGACCUUGCGCUUUUGGAGCGGCCGAUGCCUGAUUAGCUUGUUGGUAAGGUAAAAGCUUACCAAGGCUUCGAUCAGUAGCUGGUCUGAGAGGACGGCCAGCCACACUGGGACUGAGACACGGCCCAGACUCCUACGGGAGGCAGCAGUGGGGAAUUUUGGACAAUGGGGGCAAGCCUGAUCCAGCCAUGCCGCGUGAGUGAAGAAGGCCUUCGGGUUGUAAAGCUCUUUCAGCCGGGAAGAAAAGGUUGCGACUAAUAAUCGCAAUCCAUGACGGUACCGAAAGAAGAAGCACCGGCUAACUACGUGCCAGCAGCCGCGGUAAUACGUAGGGUGCGAGCGUUAAUCGGAAUUACUGGGCGUAAAGCGUGCGCAGGUGGUUUUGUAAGUCAGAUGUGAAAGCCCCGGGCUCAACCUGGGAACU
rnacentral:rRNA from 1 species